rnacentral:pre_miRNA from 1 species
UGCGAGCCAGAAUCUAGUGAAAUACGUUUUAGUUCGGGUAUCACUAGAUUCUAGGUCGUUGA